UGUUAAUGCUACGGAUUCUUCCUCCAAGAAUGAAAACCAUCCAUUUAAACAUACACGGGGAAUAAAGACAGACAAAAGGCGGCUGUUUUCCUGAUGCUUGACCCAGCCCACUGUGC
rnacentral:lncRNA from 1 species